ACAAAGGUUUCCUCCUCAACUUCACCAGUCUUUGAAGUCGAUUUGAGAAGUCAGAAAGCACUCGAGAGGAGCUCACGAAAACCCUACUUUAAUCAGUCAGAGAGAGAAGGCGAGAAUCCCAAACAGCGAUGAAUAAGGGAAUACUGCUACUGUUGUUCAUUGCCGUGUUUAUGGUCCUGUCCCCUGUUAGCGCUCUCGUCAUCACCAAGAAGAGAAACUUUCCUGGCGAGAGACGCUUAGGAAUUACAAAUUAUGGCCAGCAUGAAUUUGGUGCAAAUGGUUUCCGUAGAAGAGCUCAUUACAGACGGGGGUAAUGAGACAAUCCGCCUGUUCAAAAUAUUAAGAUGACGUUGACAGACCCUCCCAAGUAGCCUGAGUCAUGACACCGAAACUUAUUGUUGAAAUUACAUUGUCUCAGAGAAGAGACGAUGACUUAGAUCGUGAAUAGAAUGCAGACUGUGAUUUUUAUUUUGGCUUAUUUGAUUUUUCAGUUAUGUUAUUUUAACUGGCUUUAUGUUUUAUCUUUAAGUGAAUAAGUGUUAUUAAAACCUAGUCUUAAUGUGUGCUUGUAUGUUUGUUCUAUUUGAAUGUAACAUUUUUUUUCUUUUAUUGAAGUUAUUAUAGAAUUUAUAUUUCUAUAUAAAAACUACGAUAAAG